GAGAGCCCUAGUCCAUCCACAUUCUCACCAGCACCAGCCUGACUCCUUUUCCCUAAUUAGGACCCCACAGUGACUUCACAGCGGAGAAGACUGACAGCACGACCUCAGCCGGGGGCCAAGGUCAAUGUCAGCAAGGACAGCCUUGUUGAGAGCACGCGCCCUGGGUAGGAUGUGACGCCAGUGGAGUGCUGCCGCCGCGCUUUCUUUCCCCUGGCGCAUAACACCAGUCACUCAUGAGAAAAAUAGCACGUUCCAAGAGUGGGGCAUCCUGCAGAAUUUCUGACUGGUACUCCUAAAAACUGUCAAGGCCAUCAAAAACAAGGAAAGUUGGAGAAACUGUCACAGCCGAGAGGCACCUAAGGAGACAUGCCGACCAAAUGUCAUGUGGUGUCCUGGACGGGCCCUUCCUGGGACAGGGCAAGGACAUUAGGGAAGAAUCAGGGAAAUCUGAAUGCACCAUGUAGAACAGGGCCUUUAGCCAAUACUUGUGUUUCAAUACUGGUUCAUCAGUGGUGGCAGAUGCACAGCACUAAUGUAAAAUUUUAAUAAUAAGGGAAGCUGUGUGAGGGCUAUAUGGGGACUCUGUGACAUCUUCUCAAUAUUCCUGUCAAAACUGUUCUAAAAAUAAAGUCAGCUUAAAAAACUGUCAGCAACAUGCACGCAGCUCUGGAGAAUGGGGAGCAGCCCUCAUGAAGUCGUGUGCAUGAAAGGUGAAGACUUCACAUCAACGAAAGCCAUUCACAGGUCUGUGUUUGGAAUCCCAGGGUUUGGAAAACAUGCAUCUCAUUUCCUCUGGAGGUGAAAUGUGAGUUGGUCCUGCUGCCCACAUGCAUUCCCUCAAGAUGCAGAAAGCCAUGCCUGGCUGUCAUUCUGCUGAUUAGGCCCGGGCAGGGUUGGACCGCUCCACAUCGGGGCAGCAACCCAGGUGACCACACGGCAGGGAUCUCCUCCACGGUUGUGUGGGAAAGCCCUGGAGACCGAGGGACGUUCAGCAGCAUCAUGGCCCCCACAUCUCAGGCAGGCGGCAUGGGGUGCUAAGCCCCUUCCUCCCCUUUAAAAAGAAGAAUCAUGGUUUUGUUUUGUAAGAAAGGUCCGGCCUCAUAUUUAAAAACUGAGUAACAUAGGAGACCAAGAGGAAGUCAAAAGCAUGCUCCAAACUCUCCUUCCAGAUAACCAACUUUGUUCAAUCUCACAAAGGACAACUUUCCUCCAAGGGUCCAGUAGAACUGGAAAGAGGGACAGGAGUAGAAAUAAUGUUAGUCACGGGCAUCGUUUAUCAGAAAGAGCAUCUCCUGUGUUUGAGUUUCACAAGAACAAACCAAGGUGAAGCCGAAGGAAACACUUGAAAUAAAGGUUUCACCUCACAGAGACUCAAGCACUGGAAGACCUGCUAAAAGCUACCGUGAAAGAGCUUGCGAACGAAGGGAACUCCACGUUGGUAAACCAGAUGUUCCGGGUUCCAAGUUACAUUUUUACUCCCAACCCCUCCAUGCUUUCUAACGUUAUUAUUUUUUGGACGUGAUCAAAGUUUGUAACAUUUAACUUCUGUUCCUCACACCGUGGUUUCCAUUGUCACUGUCACCCGGUUUAACAUUCAGAUGAUUCCAGAGCUUGUCCCCAGCCUUUGCUGUGGUUCCUACCCCCUUGAGUUUUGUCUUCAUCAGCGUUUGUCACCUGGAUUUUGUCAUCUGAGGUUGCUGGAGAGGCCCCUGUGCUGGCUCACCGUGUAAUUUAUCAUCCUACCUGGAGCACUUGACUUCUACUUUUUAGACUUUUUAUCUGGAAAUGAUUUCAAACUUAGACAAAGUCACAAAAGCAAAAAGAGUGCAAGGAAUAGCCAUAUACCCAUUGCUCAGAUUUACCUAUUAUUCUAUCCCAUUUGCUGUAUCAUUUGUGUUGUAAGAACAGGAGUAUUCUCUUACAUAACCUCAACACAGUCAUCAACCUCAUACAUCUCCAUUAGUAUUAAUAAGAAGUAUUUUUACAUGAUAUGCCAUCUGUAUUCCAAUGUUGUCAGAUGUUCUAAUAAUAUCCUGUAAUUAAUGAAUUAAAAGAUGAGGUCUAGCUCUGUUA